UCCAGCUGUGUUGGGACUACAACUCCCAUCAUCCCUAGCUAACAGGACCAGUAGUCAGGAAUGAUGGGAGUUGUAGUCCCAAAACAGCUGGA